rnacentral:RNase_P_RNA from 1 species
CGGAGCCGGCUGGCAACCACGGGGUAAUCCUGAGGAAGCACCGCCCUCCGCGCGGCGCGGGAACCCCGUAAGGGGUGCGGGGAGACCCGCGGCUCCGGCACAGAAACGACACGGCCGCCCUCGGAUGUCUAUGAUGCGGUGAGGACAUCCCGGUAACGGGGUGUCAGUAACCCGCUGAGUAUGGGGGCGGAUGCGUUGAAACGGCCGCCCUCCCGGGAGUAAGGCCAAGCAACGCCUAUGAAGGCCGCGUGAGGCGUGGGUAGGCCGUUUAGCUAAAUGUUGCCGUAGUACAGAAGGCGGGCUAUAGCCGGCACCG